rnacentral:lncRNA from 1 species
UCUCCAUAUUGGGCUAUAUAAGGUUCAGUGGUAUCAUCAUGGAAUGGCUCUUUUGGAGCUUUCUUGGCAGUAGUUGUUGUGUACCCAGCUAUGUAAGGUGCAUUGGGAUCAUGGGUGGUUCUAGUCCUAUACCCUGCAAUGUAAGGUGCAUUGGGAUCAUGGGUGGUUCUAGUCCUAUACCCUGCAAUGUAAGGUGUAUUGGAAUCAUGUGUGGUUCUAGUCCUAUACCCUGCAAUGUAAGGUGUAUUGGAAUCACGGGUUGUCCUAGUUCUAUACCCUGCAAUGUAAUUUGGUUGAUUGUUAGCCAUAUGUGCACUAGUUGUGUACCCAGCUAUGUAAGGUGCAUUAGAAUCAUAAGUGUUGGUCCUAUACCCUGCAAUGUAAGGUGUAUUGGAUUCUUGGGCUUUAUGGGAAGCACUAGUUGUUCUGUAACCAGCUAUGUAUGGUGUAUUGGAAUCAUAGGUUUUGGUUCUAUACCCUGCUAUGUGUUGAUUGGCUUUGUUUGCAGCAUUGCUUGUUGUGUACCCAGCUAUGUAAGGUUGAUGGAACUUUUCAUGGUUAUGGUUGCGCUUAGUAGCAGUAUAUGAAGCUAGGUAAUUAGGUUCAGCGGAUUCUGAAGUGGUUAUGUACCCUUGGCCAUAUGACUCGUCAUUAGACACUGAUGUGGCUUUGUACCAUUCAUC